rnacentral:misc_RNA from 1 species
GUGACCCACAAGCGGUCCAACUUCAAGCCGGGCCGCGGUGGCCGCGGUGCUGGCCGUGGUCGUGGCCGUAGCGGUGCUGAGCCGUUCCAGGCGCUCGCCACCUUCAUGACCAUGCUUGGAGCCGCCAGCGGCUACCGCGGCCGUGGAGGUCGCGGAAGCGGUGCUCGCGGUGGCGGCGGUGCGCGUGGAGGUGGUGGUCGCGGCGGCGGCCUGAGUGGCGGUGCACCGAAGCCACAAAGCGGCAAUCCGUCCGGCGGCUUUCAGCCAUACCAGUAAGUCAUGGGCAAGACGUGUGUGAAGAAAGCGGAAGGGGCGGGGCACGGUGAGGCAAAACAUAUCCGUAUGCGCAAGACGGGAACUCGAAGCCAAUGUCUCGUACCGCAGAGUGGGGCGGUGGGUUGGAAUCAUGUGAGAAUUGAGGGCCAGUAGGCGAACCAGUGCGAGUGUGUGUGUGUGUGUGUGUGUGUGUGGAUUGGCGGGUGUCUUGAGGGUGCAUAAGUGGCGCAAGUCGAGGAAGAGAAGAGCAGUGAUCAUUGGCCGAGAAGGAAGCGGGUACAGUUGUGUAUUGUGCCAGCCUUCUGCGCCACCUCCCUCCCUCUCCCACUCUCCUCUAAGCCGCCUCUUCGUCUAUCCUCUUUUGUGGAAGCAUCAUCACACACAGACACACGUGCUCGCAUGUCCACCAGCUUGCCCGAGGUGGCCUCGCCUACCCAUUCACCACCAACACCCCUUCCUCCCUCUCCCCCGCCCCUUUCGCGACAUCGCUGCGACCGCCAGUUUCAAUAGACACGCAAGCACGCACGACAUACAUGCAAGAACUCGCACAUGUGCACACACCCAUAAGCGUGUACUCCAUCUCGGUGCGAGUGUAUGCCGUGGCUUCUCCGUGAUGAUCUCUCUCUCUCUUUCUCUCGUGUAUCUUUGUAAGUCGGCGUUCAUGUCCAUGUGCGUGGGUGUGCCCCGCCGUCUGUACACACCUCUAUAAGCGUGCGCGUGUCUGCAGAAUGGUGUUUGAUUGAGUAUUAACAGAAGAGGGAAGAAC